rnacentral:rRNA from 1 species
UACGAAGGGGGCUAGCGUUGCUCGGAAUCACUGGGCGUAAAGGGUGCGUAGGCGGGUCUUUUAAGUCAGGGGUGAAAUCCUGGAGCUCAACUCCAGAACUGCCUUUGAUACUGAAGAUCUUGAGUUCGGGAGAGGUGAGUGGAACUGCGAGUGUAGAGGUGAAAUUCGUAGAUAUUCGCAAGAACACCAGUGGCGAAGGCGGCUCACUGGCCCGAAACUGACGCUGAGGAGCGAAAGCGUGGGGAGCGAACAGG